rnacentral:rRNA from 1 species
CCUACGGGAGGCAGCAGUGGGGAAUAUUGGACAAUGGGCGAAAGCCUGAUCCAGCCAUGCCGCGUGUGUGAAGAAGGUCUUCGGAUUGUAAGCACUUUAAGUUGGGAGGAAGGGCAGUUACCUAAUACGUGAUUGUUUUGACGUUACCGACAGAAUAAGCACCGGCUAACUCUGUGCCAGCAGCCGCGGUAAU